rnacentral:rRNA from 1 species
GUUAAAAAGCUCGUAGUUGGAGUUCUGCCAGGUGCCGUCUGUCCGCCCCAGUGGUGAGUACGUGACGCGCAUUUGGCCCUUUCAAGGGGAGCGUAUCUGCACUUUACUGUGUGGUGCGGGAUCCUUGACUUUUACUUUGAGGAAAUAGGAGUGUUCCAAGCAGGCUCUCGUCGUGCACAGCUCAGCAUGGAAUAAUAGCAUUGGACCUCGAUUCUAAGCUGUUGGUUGCCAGAAGCGAGGUAAUGAUGAAGAGGGAUAGUUGGGGGCAUUCGUAUUUAACUGUCAAAGGUGAAAUUCUUGGAUUUGAUAAAGACGGACUACUGCGAAAGCAUCUGCCAUGGAUGUUUUCAUUGAUCAAGAACGAAAGUUAGGGGAUCGAAGACGAUCAGAUACCGUCCUAGUCUUAACUAUAAACCAUGCCGGCUAGAGAUCGGAGGUUGUUCGUUUUGUGACGCCUUCAGCAUCUUGAGAGAAAUCAAAGCCUUUGGGUUCCGGGGGGAGUAUGGUCGCAAGGCUGAAACUUAAAGGAAUUGACGGAAGGGCACCACCAGGAGUGGAGCCUGCGGCUUAAUUUGACUCAACACGGGGAAACUUACCAGGUCCAGACUGGGUAAGGAUGUACAGAUUGAUAGCUCUUUACAGAUUCUCAGGGUGGUGGUGCAUGGCCGUUCUUAGUUGGUGGAGUGAUUUGUCUGGUUAAUUCCGUUAAC